GGGGACGUAGGUUAGCUUGGUUUAUACUGCCAGCUUCGGGCGCUGGAGAGCAUGGGUUCAAGUCCCAUCGCCCCCA
rnacentral:tRNA from 1 species